UGAUUAUUCUUUGGGUGGAUGAAAUACUGGCUAUGCAUUUUAAGCCCAAGAGAAAGAAGUCAGAGCUGAUACCAUCAUCACCUUGCUUUGCCUUCAUAGGUCCCUUAAACUAAAAAUGCCUUUGUUCUUAGCAAUUGUGAUUCUACGUUCUUCCCAGUGUAUAAAAGAUGUUAUUUUCACGUACCUUUUUGACUUGGUAGACCAGAUAAUUAUUUCUAUUCCUUGUACCUGUUUUGUAAUUUUCUUUGAUACACAGGAAGUCAAGUCAUAGGAGGCAAAUAAUUUAAAUACUUAAAAUAGUUUUCAAAAUAUCCUCAAUAAAAGUGAUUAAAAAUUAAUGAAAGCUACAUUUAAUGCAUAAUAUAUAUUUCUGUACUUAGUUUUAGUUACUAUCCAGCAGAAAACUUGAUAGAGUACAAAUGGCCACCUGAUGAAACAGGAGAAUACUAUAUGCUUCAAGAACAAGUCAGUGAAUAUUUGGGUGUGACCUCCUUUAAAAGGAAAUAUCCAGAUUUAGAGCGACGAGAUUUGUCUCACAAGGAGAAACUCUACCUGAGAGAGCUAAAUGUCAUUACUGAAACUCAGUGCACUCUAGGUAAGAAUAGCUUUUUAAUGUGAAUUUUUCAAGCUGAACAUUUAUGAGAUAAUACUAGAUAAGUAUCUUAUUUCCUAAAAU
rnacentral:sRNA from 1 species